rnacentral:piRNA from 1 species
UGAGACUAUAGCCUUAAGGCUGGCUUGA